GUGGAGGAACCAGACUGGAUGUUGGAAGUGAUUUGCGCCCCACCCUGACGGUGCUGACCCCCUCCAGAGAAGAGCUGGAGCAGGGGAAGGCCACGCUCAUGUGCCUGGCCAACAAGGGCUUCCCCUCAGACUGGAGUCUGGCCUGGAAGGUGGACGGCAGCAGCAGCAGCAGCAGCUGGGAGGAGAGCAGGAGCCCCGGGGUGCUGGGGAAGGACGGCCACUACAGCUGGAGCAGCACCCUGAGGCUCCCUGCAGACCAGUGGAGGAAGGUGGGCUCUGUGACCUGUGAGGCCACCCAGGGCUCCCAGACUCUGCUCUCAGAGACACUGAGGAGAGACCAGUGUUCCCAGUCCUGAGCUGACUCACUGGCAGGGACUCUGCUACUGGUUUUACUCUGACACUGCUCUCACUCUGCUCUCUGCAACUAGCUCUGGCUUUUAUUUCACCUGUUUCAGUAGACACAUUUACCAGCUUGUAUGACCAUUUUUUGUCAAAUUCUCC